AACGCACAUUGCGCCCUGUGGUAUUCCGCAGGGCAUGCCUGUUCGAGCGUCAUUAUAGCCACUCAAGCCUCGCUUGGUAUUGGGGCUCGCAGCUCUGCGGCCUCUAAAAUCAGUGGCGGUGCCUAUAGGCUCUAAGCGUAGUAAUUCUCCUCGCUAUAGAGUCCUGUGGGUUCCCUGCCAAAACCCCCCAUACUUUUUAUAGGUUGACCUCGGAUCAGGUAGGGAUACCCGCUGAACUUAA
rnacentral:misc_RNA from 1 species